rnacentral:misc_RNA from 1 species
UGGUUCUGGCAUCGAUGAAGAACGCAGCGAAAUGCGAUAAGUAAUGUGAAUUGCAGAAUUCAGUGAAUCAUCGAAUCUUUGAACGCACAUUGCGCCCGCCAGCAUUCUGGCGGGCAUGCCUGUUCGAGCGUCAUUUCAACCCUCAAGCUCUGCUUGGUUUUGGGGCCCUACGGUGGACGUAGGCCCUUAAAGGUAGUGGCGGACCCUCCCGGAGCCUCCUUUGCGCAGUAACAUUUCGUCUCGCACUGGGAUCCGGAGGGACUCUUGCCGUAAAACCCCCAAAUUAUCCAAAGGUUGACCUCGGAUCAGGUAGGAAUAUCCGCUGA